CAGUAGCCGCGGGAAUACAGAGGGUGCGAGCGUUAAUCGGAUUUACUGGGCGUAAAGCGUGCGUAGGCGGCUUCUUAAGUCGGAUGUGAAAUCCCUGAGCUUAACUUAGGAAUUGCAUUCGAUACUGGGAAGCUAGAGUAUGGGAGAGGAUGGUAGAAUUCCAGGUGUAGCUGUGAAAUGCGUAGAGAUCUGGAGGAAUACCGAUGGCGAAGGCAGCCAUCUGGCCUAAUACUGACGCUGAGGUACGAAAGCAUGGGGAGCAAACAGGAUUAGAGACCCGCGUAGUCCCUGUCUCUUAUAC
rnacentral:rRNA from 1 species